AUGCUCUUCUUCAGUAUCAUCACAGGCUCAGAAUUCCUGCAAGUGCUCCUUGGCCAGCUGCUAUACCCUCCCUGUCUGGCACACACCACAGGGCAAAGCCCAGUGUGCAGCUUUGGCAAGCAGCUUUCUGGGGCUUCACCACAUUUCUUCUCUGUGUUCUCCAUGUUCUUGAAGGCAUCUUCCCUUCCUGUGGGCUUUUCCUGUGCUGACACUGUCCUGACCAAGGUCUCAGGGUACCAAAAGCAUUCUUCAUUCCCAGUGCCCCCGUCUGAAGUCCUACUCUUCACAGGGAGCAGCAAUGACAAAAUUCUCACCACAGUUAUGCUAAACUUCAAGAAGAGGAACAACAUAGUAUGUGAGAGCACAUGUUAAAGAUCUGUCUAGAUUUGCAUCACAGUGGUGUGGUGAUGCUGAAACAGGCUGCUGGGUGGAAUAACCUGCCCACCUUAUGGAGCAUUACAUAAAUGCUCUCAAAAAUACAGACCUCUUGUUCCUCAGAUCUCCAAGCUGAGGCCCUGGAUCUUACUGUGUCAGUGAGAUCUGACUCAGAGAGAAUGAGAUUCACUAAUGAGCACUUACAGCUGCAACCACAGCUAAUUUCGAGAUAAAAUGUUAAGUACUCUGAAAAAGCAAGUAAUGAAGACCUAAAGGUGGUGGGUACUCUUAAUUUUCCUAACUCUCAAAGUCCCAUUUAUAAA
rnacentral:lncRNA from 1 species